AUGAUGGACUAUAGGACAGGACUGCUGCUUUUAACUCUCUGCUGGGCAGGUGUUGAUGGUCAGACUCUGACAGAAUCUGAACCAACGAUCAAAAGACCUGGAGAAUCCCACAGAUUGACCUGUACAGUCUCUGGAUUCACACUCAGCAGCUACAACAUGGCCUGGAUCAGACAGGCUCCUGGAAAAGGACUGGAGUGGGUUGCCUGGAAUAGUAACGGUGGUAGCACCAAAUGCUACUCUCAGUCAGUCCAAGGCGAGGGGGUCCUAUCAAUUAUCACUUCCUUACAGAACACGGACAACAGCAGACAGCAGCUGUAUCUGCAGAUGAACAGUCUGAAGACUGAAGAUUCUGCUGUUUAUUAUUGUGCUCGAGAGCCACAGUGACUGGAGUUGGUUGAGCAGCUGUACAAAAUCCUACAGUACUCAUUCUUUCAGGCUGGU